CAUUAGAUAACUUAAAGCAAGUAUUGGUCUCUUAAACCACUUCAUGGUAGUUUAGCAUUUACCUCUAAUG
rnacentral:tRNA from 1 species